rnacentral:rRNA from 1 species
GAUGAACGCUGGCGGCGUGCCUAAUACAUGCAAGUCGAGCGAACGGACGAGAAGCUUGCUUUUCUGAUGUUAGCGGCGGACGGGUGAGUAACACGUGGAUAACCUACCUAUAAGACUGGGAUAACUUCGGGAAACCGGAGCUAAUACCGGAUAAUAUUUUGAACCGCAUGGUUCAAAAGUGUAAGACGGUCUUGCUGUCACUUAUAGAUGGAUCCGCGCUGCAUUAGCUAGUUGGUAAGGUAACGGCUUACCAAGGCAACGAUGCAUAGCCGACCUGAGAGGGUGAUCGGCCACACUGGAACUGAGACACGGUCCAGACUCCUACGGGAGGCAGCAGUAGGGAAUCUUCCGCGAUGGGCGAAAGCCUGACGGAGCAACGCCGCGUGAGUGAUGAAGGUCUUCGGAUCGGAAAACUCUGUUAUUAGGGAAGAACAUAUGUGUAAGUAACUGUGCACAUCUUGACGGUACCUAAUCAGAAAGCCACGGCUAACUCCGUG